rnacentral:sRNA from 1 species
GUCGUGAGAUGUUGGGUUAAGUCCCGCAACGAGCGCAACCCUCGUUCUAUGUUGCCAGCGAGUAAUGUCGGGGACUCAUAGGAGACUGCCGGGGUCAACUCGGAGGAAGGUGGGGAUGACGUCAAGUCAUCAUGCCCCUUAUGUCCAGGGCUGCACACAUGCUACAAUGGCCGGUACAAAGAGCUGCGAUACCGCAAGGUGGAGCGAAUCUCAUAAAGCCGGUCUCAGUUCGGAUUGGGGUCUGCAACUCGACCCCAUGAAGUCGGAGUCGCUAGUAAUCGCAGAUCAGCAACGCUGCGGUGAAUACGUUCCCGGGCCUUGUACACACCGCCCGUCACGUCACGAAAGUCGGUAACACCCGAAGCCGGUGGCCCAACCCUUGUGGAGGGAGCCGUCGAAGGUGGGAUUGGCGAUUGGGACGAAGUCGUAACAAGGUAGCCGUACCGGAAGGUGCGGCUGGAUCACCUCCUUUCUAAGGAGCACUAAGAGGCAGUCGUUCGCGGCUUGCCUCCAUUCUCCGUUCGCAGGCGUUCGUCCUGCGCGGAGUGCUCAAGGGUGGAACACUGACUAGUUCGGCCGAUCUUCAAGAGUGUCGUCAGUACAGCGGGUAACCGCCGGAACCUCGACUGCUCGAAGAACAUCGGCCGUAGGCACGCUGUUGAGUCCUGAGGGAGCGGAAAUUUCCGCCCUUCUGGGCUUUCGUCAUGUCCGGACUUUUCGUCGGAUGUGCGAUCAGCUCGUCCGGGCCUGGUGGUCAUCGAACGACAGCCUGUCGGCUGCACGCGAUGAGCAACUGCCAGGGUCGCCCGUACUUUGAGAACUGCACAGUGGACGCGAGCAUCAAUACUUUGUGGCCAAGUUAUUAAGGGCGCACGGUGGAUGCCUUGGCACCAGGAGCCGAUGAAGGACGUAAGGGGCUGCGAUAAGCCUCGGGGAGCUGCCGACUGAGCUUUGAUCCGAGGAUUU